ACUGAGGUCAUGGACGCACACUGAGCUGC
rnacentral:piRNA from 1 species